rnacentral:tRNA from 1 species
GGUGGCUCAAUGGGUAGAGCACUCGUCUAGCAUGCGUGAAGCCCUGAGUUCGAUUCCUCAGUACCA